rnacentral:rRNA from 1 species
CUAACAAGGAUUCCCCUAGUAACUGCGAGUGAAGCGGGAAAAGCUCAAAUUUAAAAUCUGAGGGUCYYUGUGGCCUUCCGAGUUGUAAUCUAGAGAAGUGCUAUCCGCGCUGGACCGUGUACAAGUCUCCUGGAACGGAGCGUCAUAGAGGGUGAGAAUCCCGUCUUUGACACGGACUACCAGGGCUUAUGUGAUGCGCUCUCAAAGAGUCGAGUUGUUUGGGAAUGCAGCUCUAAAUGGGUGGUAAAUUCCAUCUAAAGCUAAAUAUUGGCGAGAGACCGAUAGCGAACAAGUACCGUGAGGGAAAGAUGAAAAGAACUUUGGAAAGAGAGUUAAACAGUACGUGAAAUUGUUGAAAGGGAAACGCUUGAAGUCAGUCGCGUUGGCCAGGAAUCAACCUUGCUUUUGCUUGGCGUACUUUCUGGUUAACGGGUCAGCAUCAAUUUUGACCGGUGGAUAAAGGUCAGGGGAAUGUGACAUCUUCGGAUGUGUUAUAGCCUCUGGUCGCAUACAUCGGUUGGGAUUGAGGAACUCAGCACGCCGCAAGGCCGGGUUUCGACCACGUACGUGCUUAGGAUGCUGGCAUAAUGGCUUUAAUCGACCCGUCUUGAAACACGGACCAAGGAGUCUAACAUGCACGCGAGUGUUUGGGUGGAAAACCCGAGCGCGCAAUGAAAGUGAAAAUUGAGAUCCCUGUCGUGGGGAGCAUCGAUGCCUGGACUUGAUCUUUUGUGACGGUUCCACGGUUGAGCGUGUAUGCUGGGACCCGAAAGAUGGUGAACUAUGCCUGAAUAGGGUGAAGCCAGAGGAAACUCUGGUGGAGGCUCGUAGCGAUUCUGACGUGCAAAUCGAUCGUCAAAUUUGGGUAUAGGGGCGAAAGACUAAUCGAACCAUCUA